rnacentral:rRNA from 1 species
GACGAACCGAGCGAACGUUGUUCGGAAUCACUGGGCUUAAAGGGCGCGUAGGCGGAUUCUCAAGUCCGGGGUGAAAUCCCACAGCUCAACUGUGGAACUGCCGCGGAUACUGCGAGGCUUGAGUGCUGUAGAGGGGGGUAGAAUGCCGGGUGUAGCGGUGGAAUGCGUAGAGAUCCGGCAGAAGACCGGUGGCGAAGGCGGCCCCCUGGGCAGUAACUGACACUGAGGCGUGACAGCGUGGGGAGCAAACAGG